UACACUCCACUUAAUUCACUUUUGAUCUGGAAACAUUUUAUAAGAAAACAUUUUAUAAGAAAUUUCUAGUGGGAUUAAUUUUAGAAUAAAUCCAGAUGGAUAUGUCCAAUCUACCAAAAACCAUAUAUAUAACAACUCUCCAACCGCUCAACAACCCAUAAAUAAUAUCACAGGUUUAUUUGUUCUAUACCUAUAUACUUGACUUUGCUUAUGGAAACGAUUAAAUCAAGAAACAUUAUGAGUACUAGUUUUCAGUUUUUUAACUAGAAUGUUUCUCAAUCAUGGUCAGCUAGCUAAUGUGAAGUCAUCUCUCUCUCUCUCUCUCUCUCUGGUUUCUUGUAUUAGAGCUCUCAAAAACCCAUAAUAGAGCAUUAGUUUUUCCAACAGAUAAUGGAAAGAACCUUUGUGUUGAUAUGCAUCUUCUGGGCCGUCCUCACAAUCAUCCAGGUAAUUUCUUCCCUUUGCGACAAUUAUUUGAUUUACUAGUAAGAGCCAAAGAGGUGCAACCCAAUUACAGAUUAUCAAAAAGGCCGGCAGUACUCUGGGAAAAAAUGGAAGCGAGAAGGAGAAGUAAGGGGUUAAAUCCUAAAAUUAAAUGUCAAAAGAAGCAGAACACCAGUGGUAGGUCUUUGUUUGAUCUUACGCAUGGAUGUUUUCUUUGCCUUAAAAAUUUCAUUAUUCUUCACCAACCAAAUGCUCAACAUCAAGCCAGAUGUCCCUGUUUUUCAAGCAAAAAAAAAUUUUAAAGGUCCAAAUAGACAAUUAUGCAAUUAUUCAAAAAACGCAGCAUAUUUUUAUUUCUUUCCCAAAAUUACACCCCAUCACUAACCUACAUGUAAUAAGAAUGCUAUAUGGGAUAGGCUGUAGUUAAAGGAAAGAAUUUAUUGCUUUGUAGCUAUCACCUAUGGUUAUGCAGUCUUGGAUGCCUUUACUUUCUACAGAUUCUGAAAGUGGGGCGGAACACGAUGACUGACCAUUAUAUCGAAGUACACCAAGAAGGUGUACCAAGUUGACUUUGAAGACCAUCAAAACCACUUUAGUCAGAACAAGUUUUUAAUAAUAAAGAGAUCGGGUGAUCCACUAGAAACACCAAUGGAUUAUGGAUACCACUUCCUAUCUCAAUAUUUAGGUCUUAUUUGAAAAAGUAAUAUCUCGCCAGAAAGAAUCUCCUUCAAGAAGGCAAGUAUCAACAUUAUUACAGUAGAAUUUACACAGUUUUGGUGUUGUUGAUCGUUUUGGCUUGGAGUUUAUGAUCUGGUAAUUUGGUUUUUGCAGGUUCCUCUGCACCAUAGGGAUGUUUCUGUUGGAGGAAGAGGGAUUUCUAUCAGAGCCCAAAUGAGUUUUAGAAAGACAAUGCUCAACGAUUGCAUAACAAUUUUAAAGAACUAUUGGAUAAAUGUGAAGGACUACCCAUGAAAGAAAUGGUCUCAAAACUAAUGACAAACAUAAUGUGAAGAAGAAGAAUAUUCCAUGAAAAAAAACUUUCAUGUGAUUUGAUUUGUAAUUUUUUUUAUUAUAUGAAUAAUGAUCCAUUAUAUCAUAUUUAUUAUUAAUUUAUAUUUAUAUUUUUUAAUUGUGAUAUAUCAUAUUAUUGGUGCAUUCUAAAUGCUGUUAAUUAAUCUAA